rnacentral:rRNA from 1 species
AGGGGCGCAGCAGUGGGGAAUUUUCGGCAACGGGGGGAACCCUGACCGAGCAACGCCGCGUGAACGAAGAAGGUCUUCGGAUUGUAAAGUUUUGUUGUACGGGAAGAACGGUAUGGAUAGGAUCCAUAAGUGACGGUACCGUACCAGAAAGCCACGGCUAACUACGUGCCAGCAGCCGCGGUAAUACGUAGGUGGCGAGCGUUAUCCGGAAUUAUUGGGCGUAAAGGGUGCGUAGGCGGUCUGUUAAGUUCGUGGUUAAAGCGUGGGGCUCAACCCCAUAAAGCCACGGAUACUGGCAGACUAGAGUACUGGAAAGGGCAGUGGAAUUCCAUGUGUAGCGGUAAAAUGCGUAGAUAUAUGGAGGAACACCGGUGGCGAAGGCGGCUGCCUGGACAGAGACUGACGCUGAGGCACGAAAGCGUGGGGAGCAAAUAGGAUUAGAUACCCUAGUAGUCCACGCCGUAAACGAUGGAUACUAAGUAUUGGGGCAACUCAGUGCUGCAGUUAACGCAAUAAGUAUCCCGCCUGUGGGGUAUGCACGCAAGUGUGAAACAUAAAGGAAUUGGCGGGGGAGCACA